UCUUUGCUAGUGUAUCGGUUAGUACACGCGCCUGUCAUGAAGUGUGUCUACGCGCGAAAGCUGGGUUCGACUCCCAGGCAGAGAG
rnacentral:tRNA from 1 species